rnacentral:rRNA from 1 species
CUGCCCAAUGAGUAUUGAAUGGCUGCAGUAUUUUGACUGUGCUAAGGUAGCAAAAUAAUUUGCUUUUUAAUUGGAAGCUGGGAUGAAAGAUUUAAUAAGGUUUAUUUGUCUUAUAUUUUUGAGAGGAAUUUUCAGUACAAGUAAUAAUGCUUGUGAGUAAUAAUGGGACGAUAAGACCCUAAAAGCUUUAAUUUGAUAGGAUAAUAUAAUAUAUAAUAUAAUUUUUGCUGGGGAAGUAGUUUAAGAAAAGUUUAUAUAAAAAUAAACCUUAUAAAGGGAUAAUGAUCUUUUAAAUAAAGAUAGGUAGUUAUAGUUACUUUAGGGAUAACAGCAUAAUAGUUUUGGGAAGAUCAUAUUUAUAAAACUGAUUGUGACCUCGAUGUUGAAUUAAAAAUUCUGUUAGUAGAAGAAGAUAUACGAGAAGGUUUGUUCAACCUUUAAAAUUUUACGUGAUCUGAGUUCAGACCGGA